AUGACUAAACUGUUUAGUCUGAUGAACUGUGCUGGAAAUCUGAUGCUCUCCCUAGAACCUUCUAUGGACAAGUAGAAAACCAAUAUUGAAAACACUGAAACCAACUGAACAAUUAUUUGUAGAGCCUUAGGGUCUUGUUACACAUUGACUUUGAACUGCUCAAAUGUUGAUCAGUGAUAGUGCUAGCUCAAGUUUGGAGCAGUCACAUAUUCCAACCAGCAGGGGCUUUGAGGACUGAAAGGUA